ensembl:lncRNA
GGCUGAGGCAGGACAAUUGCUUGAACCAGAUGCAGGGGGUGGGUGAGGUGGGGGAUGCAGUGAGCCAAGAUCAUGCCACUUCACUCCAGCCUGGGCAAAAGAGUGAAACUCCGUCUCAAAACCCAAAAAAACCCAAGCAGUCUGACUCAAAAGUCCGUUUUCAAUUACUCUGUUCUGCUGAAGAAAAAAAAAGAUACAUUAAGUUACUUUUUUUCUUCUAUGCAUGGAUCUAUAAUGUACCUUUUACUUCCAGAAAGGUCUCUAUUGUCUUAGUUUUGAAAAUGCACAGUGAGAAAGUCAUUAUUCUAUUGACCUUUGCUAAGAUCUGUUGUGUGCUGGGCCAGGGACAGAGAAGACUCAUAUGAGGGCCUUGCCAUUAGUGGUAUAGUAGGAAAGAUAGGCAUCUACUCACAUAAUUUCACAGCAUUGGGUACUGAGGAUACCGUAGGAGUGCUGAGAUCCCCAGAGAAGGGAGAUAAUAGUUCUAGCUGAGAGGAUUGGGGAAGGUGUCCCCAGAACAUAGUAUUCUGUUCUUUACUAGCAUUACUAAAAACAUACAUGGUGACUGUUGGGAUUUUUUGUUAGAAGCAGAGCUCCCACAAGGCCGCAUCAUUUGAUGUUACGGCUGUGUUCACUGGAAAAGGCCAGCAGUCUCCUAGGAGGCCUCAUUUAAGUAGCAUUCAUUACUUGAGUGAAUUAAGCCUGGUCCAAGGUCUGACCUUCAAGUUUAGAAACCUGAUUUUCAUCAAUAAAAUGGAGACAGAUCUCUAUUAAGAAAUUUCACAGGGACUGAUAUAAAGACCCGAAUGUCACUUUCCAGUAAAAAUAAAGUUGCCACAGGACUUGGAGUGCCCACAAUUGGUUGAACAUGACUCCUCCCUUGCUGGUGGUUGGAUACCUCCUGCCUCUGAGGCACCGCUUGAUCUCUGCAGCCAGGGGUGCCUGGGCCCCUCUCAUGGACGCAUUUUUCAGAUUAAUAUCUUUAAUCAGGUUACAGUCUGGUUUGACUAGUUGGGUAACUAUAAUGCCUCUUUAGGGUGACUUUGCAUAUCUUUGCUUUGAUCCAUUAUAUGUAAAAUUUUCAGUAUGUUAAUGAGCAUCAUUUUUAAAAUCAUGAAAUAGAAUUCAUUAUUGAAUAUGUACUGGGUCACAAGAUAAAAUGUUUGAAAGCCAUUUAUUUUUUACAAUCUCUCCAAAGGAGUGUAAGUCCUAAAGUUAUGUAUCCAGGUGAAUGACAUAAAAGAUUUAUCUCAUGGGAGUGGGGAAAACUACAGAAAGACCUCACCCAUUUUUCUCUCCUCACUGCACUAAGUGUAUGGAAUGUGUGCAGCUGCCCAAGACCUAAGGGCUUAGUUACAGCCUCUCCAUCCUGUUUCCUCUGGAGUCAGAACUUGAUUGAGUUAGUUUGUGGGAAGGGAAAGAAAUGGGAAAAAGCUGACACUUACUGGGGACCUUCUCUGAGCCUGGCACUAAGGUUCUUAAUAAAUGUAUACUUUAUUCCUUAUGACACUUAAAUAGAAAAUAUAAGGUAUAGAGAGAUGGAAGCAAUUUGGCCAAGAAACCCCAACCUAGGAAAGGUUCACAGCUGGACAAGCCAGGUUCCAACCCAGAUGACUCAGCUGUGAGACUUACUCUUCUACCACACUGGACUGCCUUUUGCUCUCUGCGGCUAUGUAUGCUCAAAGGACUGCUCUUAAGAGCAGGUGUGCAAGACUCAGCAACCCAGGCCCUCAUUGAGCACAGAGGAGACCCCACACCCCUCCGAGGCUCUGUAAGACACACAGGAGAGACUGAACUGAAUUGCUUGCUCAGCCUGUGGGCCUUUUAAUGAUGAUUGGACUUGUCAGGACUGAGACAACCCUGAUUUGUUCUCCAAAUUGUGGGCCUCUACAUGAGUUAAAGAUCCUUCUAGGCACUGUGACAUACAGAGACCUGGAUGGGGUAGAGGCUGUACUUAAUUGAAUCAAAACUCUGGACCUAGAAUGGGUAGAAGCAGGUAAGGAACCCUCCACCCUUGCUCCCUUGUAGCAUGCUACCUUAACCACAUACAAGCAAAAGAAAACCCUGAUGCAUCUCAGCUUCCUGAGCAAGUUCCUGGCCUUGUAGAGGGAAUCCAGACCUUGGAGUUUUAUGAACAUGGGCCUAAAUUCUGGUCUUACCAUUUCCUAGCUGUGUGUUUUUGGGUAAAUCUGUUAACCUCUGUGGUCCUCAGGGAUAACAGUUCCCUUACAGGGUUGUUGCCAGGAUUAAAGAUGAUAGAUACAGGUUGGGUGUGGUGGCUCAUGCCUGUAAUCCCAGAAUUUUGGGAGGCCCAGGCAGGAGGAUUGCUUGAUUCCAGGAGUUCCAGACCAGCCUCGACAACAUAGCAACACUCUGUCUCUACAAAAAAGUAUAUAUAUAUUUAAAAAUUAGCCAGGCAUGGUGACGUGCACCUGAAGUCCUAGCUACUCAGGAGACUGAGGUGGGAGGAUCACUUGAAGCCAGGAGUUCGAGGCUGCAGUGAGCUGUGAUCACACCACUGCACUCCAGACUGGGCAACAGAUCGAGACACUCUGAAAAAAAAGAUGAUGGAUACAAAGUCAUGGUUUCUGUUACAUGGCAGAUAUUCACUAAGAGCUGCCAUGCCCAUGUUUAAAAAGAAGAGGUAACAACACAUUUUCGGAAAAUGUGAAUCUGAAUAAAGAGGAUAAACUUCA